rnacentral:rRNA from 1 species
CGGGACGGGUGAGUAACGCGUGGGUAACCUGCCUCACACUGGGGGAGUAACAGCUAGAAAUAGCUGCUAAUACCGCAUAAGCGCACGGUUCCGCAUGGAACAGUGUGAAAAACUCCGGUGGUGUGAGAUGGACCCGCGUCUGAUUAGCCAGUUGGCGGGGUAACGGCCCACCAAAGCGACGAUCAGUAGCCGGCCUGAGAGGGUGAACGGCCACAUUGGGACUGAGACACGGCCCAA